rnacentral:piRNA from 1 species
AUCGAAAUGUAUAUCUCCUUUGGCAU